UACGUAGGGUGCGAGCGUUGUCCGGAAUUAUUGGGCGUAAAGAGCUCGUAGGCGGUUUGUCGCGUCGGGAGUGAAAACCCAGGGCUUAACCCUGGGCUGGCUUUCGAUACGGGCAGACUAGAGGUAUGCAGGGGAGAACGGAAUUCCUGGUGUAGCGGUGAAAUGCGCAGAUAUCAGGAGGAACACCGGUGGCGAAGGCGGGUCUCUGGGCCGAUACUGACGCUGAGGAGCGAAAGCGUGGGGAGCGAACAGG
rnacentral:rRNA from 1 species